rnacentral:lncRNA from 1 species
CUCAAUCAUCCACUUCUUCUCUUCUUUGAACUCAAAGUCCCAGCUAAUAUUAGAAUCAUGGGUGUUGUCACUUAUGACUAUGAGAAUACCUCCCCAGUCGCCCCUGCCAGGCUUUUCAAGGCCUUUACUGUUGAAGCUCCGAAAGUUUGGCCCACGGCUGCACCAAAUGCAGUCAAGAGCAUUGAGGUUGAAGCUAAUCCUAGCUCUGGAAGUAUAGUAAAAAUCAACUUUGUUGAAGGUUAGUUCUUUCAUUUUCAUUUUCAUUGGCCUUUUUGUAGUCUGUUUUACACGAGUAUGUUGUAUAACAAGUAUUGAUUUCUUUAGGCCUUCCAUUCCAAUAUAUGAAGCACCAGAUCGGAGGACAUGAUGAAAGUAAUUUUUCAUACAGUUACGAUUUAAUCGAAGGUGGGCCUUUGGGGGAUAAGCUUGAAAAAAUUAGCUAUGAGAACAAGUUUGAGGCAGCUGCAGGUGGAGGAAGUAUUUGCAAGAGCUCAAUGAAAUUCUACACUGUUGGCGAUAAUGUUAUCACUGAAGACGAAAUCAAGGCUCUCAUUAAAGGGAGUGAAGGAGUUUACAAGCCUGUUGAAGCUUACCUCUUGGCUAAUCCCGAAGCCUGCAACUAGGAUAUAAGUUGCUUUAAAUUCUUAUGCUUGCUUUUAAAGAGGGGUUUGAUUUUAAUGUUGUGCUUUUGAUAUUUUCUUUUUCAUCUUAAAACCUAUAUUGUCUUCUGGUUGUUCAGUAAGAAUGAUGGUGGUGGUGAUCGAACUUUGAUCAUCUUUGAUAUAUAAUGAAAUAAAUAAAUAUAUAAACUGGCAAAAAAAAAAUCUUUACCCAAUAUAUAUUUUACAGGUUUCAUGGAAGACUACAAAUUUUCUUUUAUAUAACUUUUGGGUUAGCAAAACUUUGAGCUAAACAUUUUUUUAAUUGAAUUUAUAUUCAAAAUUUUAAAAAAAAAUCGUCUGACGCUUUAUAAUAAUAGCCUAAUCAUACAAUUUCUUUUUUUUAAUAAAAUAAUAAUAUUAAGCGAAAAUAAUAAAAUCACCAAUCCUAUUAAAGAUAGCACUUUUAAGUUAUACUAUAUUAUCUACAAGGAUAUUUACAUUAAAUAAUCAAUGUCACACAAUUGCAACGAUCAAAUUUAAAUAAAAAUAUUACAAAAAUCAAAUGAAUUUUUUUUUAGGUUUUCCUUCUAGUUUAAUGCUCAUUACAUUUCUCUUCCACGAAAUAUAGUUAUUAUUAGAAAUAAUUGUUUCUUCACUUGUAUUUUUUUAUUGCAACAUGACCAAUAACAAGUUAUCAACAAGUUGAAUAUGGAUUUUAAGGUUUCAAGAGUUGAAAAUUUAUGUAUAUAUAUUUAUGAAAUUAGGCUUAAUGUAUCAUUUGCCCUUUUAAGUGUCUUGUAAAUGGAAAUAAAUUUAGACCAAAUAGAAUUCAUCAUCGAUUAUUAUUUUUUAUCUUUAAUUAAUUAAUUAUAAUUAAUAAAGAGAUAAAUUAAGAAAUUAAAUCUUUUUGGAACUCUUUUAUAAAUAAAUUGUUGAGUCCAAAUUGAUAUUUGAAGUCAGAAUCAAGCAGUGCUUAGAUCAGUUCUAACAGCUUCAGGCACUAGUAAUGAAAACUAUAGAAAAUAAUAAUAAAAACACAAUAGAUGUUUACAUAAUUCAAAUUCCCUACAUCUAUGAGGCUUUGCCCAUUCACUAUCGUAGCUCAUUGGACAAUAAGUGUUUCCAAGCACUAACACUCACCAAUUUAGACUUUUCACUUUUGUACUAAGAUCUAAAUAUCUCCCUCUAAGUUUUCCUUGAAAACUUAGGAAACUAACCAAAUCACACACUUGAUUAUUAUAGUUUAAUGCACUCACAAAAACGUUCCUUACUUGAACAAAAUAAAGUGCUCCCACUAAGUAUGUAACAUCCCAAAAAUUGAGGGUUAGUAGAAUCAGGUUUGGGAAUCAAGAGAGAGUGGUCAUGCCCUAAGUUUUGAGAUUAUCUAUACAUUUUUUAAGAAAUAUAUGAGGUAUUGAUUUGUUGGUUAAGUGUUAGUGAAACGUUUCUUAAAACUCAAGUUCAAAUCCAUUCUCUCUCACCAUUUUUAUUAUUUUGUAAAUUUUGUCUUAAACCCUAGUAUGUGACAUACCUUGUUUUUAAAAUAACUUGCAAAGUUCAAAUUUUUUCCCUUGCAAAAUUUAAUCCCUUUUUUUUAAUGUGUAUGCCAUUCAUACCCUUGAACCCUAAGUAUAAAUACAAAUUUUUAUUAUAUUUUUCAACCUUUAAUUCAAAUUUCCCUACCCUAUCCGUUCACCAUCCUCCUCUCCUCUUUUCUCUUCAAUUUUCUUUCUUUCUCCCAUUGUUGUUAUCUCCUACACCUCCCAUUUUACCAUAUCUUUCUUCUUCUUUUUACAUCAAGAUUGUGCACCAUCUCCUUUAUUCUAAUGCUUCCAUUUAUCAUCAUCUAAAUCAGCCCCAAAUCUGAAAUCUUGAACCCCAAGAUCAAUCCUGAACAUUGCCAAGAAAGUGUCAUUGUCGUUUCUCUCAAUUAGCUUGGGUAAGAUCUCCUUUCUCUUCAACUUCUUGAUUAAUAUUUUCAAUUAAAAACCAAAAUUUAUAGAUAUUGAAUUUGGGGGAUUUUAAUGAGAUCUCAAACCAUUUUAAAAUUCAGCCCCAAUUUUGGCCACCAUGGGUGGUGGUGCGUGCGCCUAUGUGCAAGAAAGGGGGUUGUUUUGUUUCUUGGGUCUUGCUAAUAUUUUUUCCAGUAUUAAAUUGUGUUCUUGAAACCUUAUAAUCAUCCUUUAAUCACAUGUUAGUUAGGUAGAGACGUUCUUGAUCAAUUAGACAAUCAGGUUCCACAAAUCAUGAAGCGUAAGUGUAAUUAAGGGUAACUAGUUUGUUAUUUCGAUAUAGUUGUAGGGUAAAAGUUAUGAAUUGAUUAAAUGAAGGAAUUUAAUCCUUAAUUAUCUACUUAUUUUCCAGUAUAUUAUUGAAUUAGGUGCUAACCUAAAUGGCCUAAAUCAUCCGUAAAUGUGAAGAAUGAUUGUAUGUACGGUUCGCAUCGAUACAGUGUAAGGAAUCUAACUAGUUUUGAUUCAUAAAAUAGUUAUAAUUUCAAGGAUUGGUUUGAACUCGUAAGUGUGUUUUUGGGGGAUGAUUUAAUGGUAUAUUUAUUUAAUUUAUAAUAAAUUUUGGUUUAGGUUUGUUUAAGGAAUUAUUAAGGAAAAUUGGAAGAUUUGCUAAUGUGCUGCGAGGAAGCGAAAAAUAAGCUAUAGGUCCUAAACUCAUCAAAAUUGUUUGAAAAUCUUAAAUAUCAUGUUAUAUUUGAUAAAUUAGUUUGCUGAUUGGAUUGGCUUAAUAUCCAAAUUAUUUAUUUUGUGAGUGACCGAACCAGGUAUGUUUCGAGCCUUAAAAGAUUGACAUGUUGACAAAAUUGCUAGUUUGAUAGUAUGAAUUUUUUUAUUGAGUUUGUAAUUGCAUAUUUGAGUUACGAUAUAUGAGAAUGUUUGACUGAAUGAUAUAAUGUGUUGAGAUAUUAAUCUUAUGUAUGAUUUAAAUGCAUGAGAUAUUUAUUAUAUUAUAUACUGAAAAGGGUGCUAUUUCUACACAACGAAAAUCCAUAAAGUAUGUGAAAUUGAAUGAUAUUCAUUAAUACCAAUACAAUGGUAAUUUGAAAGAUUGGAACACUGCUUCCAUUUACUGAAAGUAUGUGAUUAUUGAGGACAUGCAAAGCAUGUCAAAUGAAUGUGAAAAGUAUUGAGAUAUGAUUAUGUAUGAGAUUGUGUGACAUAUUGCAUAUGCAUUGAGUUGGGAUUUUGUGGUUGAUGGAGGAGUUCCGUGGAGUGCCGGCGACAUAUUAAGUCCGCAUUAUUCGUAGUCAGUGCACUGCACCUAGAGUACCGAAGGGAAUGACGAUUUAUCGCAUGUUUACUGACAACUUGUCUGUAUUUUUAUUGGCAAAAUUUUCGGCAUAUUGUUAUCAGUGGUUUUAACCACAACGGGCUUAAGCCUAUAAUGUUUUAGAGUUCGGAUGACAGGUUCUGGAGAACUCGUGGUGUGUAGCAAAUGGUAUGGGUAGGAACUUUUUUGCAUUGUAUUAUGCUCAAGACAUAUCCGAAUGUUAUUGAUUUAUGUUACGUACUGUAUUGAAUGGUAUCAAAAUUAAUGAUUAUUACUUGAAUGACACACCAUUUGACAUCAAUUUGUUAAUGGCUAUGUAAUGAUAUGAAAUUCCUAUGAUGGUUUUGUUUUCUUCUGUUAAAGCUAAUCUAUUUCACUGUAUUCGAUAUUUAUGUUUGUUUAAAUAAUUGUUUGACUCACACUGAACUUUUCAUACGCUCACCCCAAAAUAGUGUUUAACUUUUCAGGUAAACCUCAAAAUUAGGACUGGACUCGGCAUACGAAGAAUCACCUUGGACCUUGGACUAUUCUUAAUAAGUAUUAUUAAGUCUUUAUUGGUUUUGACUUGUAUUAUUUAAUUAUUUCUAGUCUGUGGCUUGAUAACUUUUCUUUUGGGGAUUUUUUUACAUGUAUGAAUUACUCAAGCAUAAUAACCGAAUAAUGCAUGAUAUCGAGCUUAAGUAAAAUUUGAUAUUGUUCCCUAGUUUUCGCUACAUUACAAAAUGAACCAUUUUUGAAAAACAUAUCGAUAAGGCAACUAAGUUUCCAAAUUGACUUGAAAAAUAGUUUUUUUUUUAUAAAAAAGAGGAACAAACAAACAGUUUUUCUAAAACAACACUAUCAAUAAUAAAAUGAAUCCUAAGUAUACACGACCUAAUGAAUGAAUGCUUUUAAGUUAACUUAAAGUACAACUAUGAUUUUCUCCAAAAUGAGUUUAUUUAAAGACUUCAAAAGUAACGUAAGCUAGCUUAACCAUUUCUAUGGCUAAUGUAGCCUUCUCAAUUUAGCCAUAAUGUCUAGGCCGGGUUUGGAAGGUUACAAAGCACGUAACCUAUACAGGUCUUCACUAGGGGUAAACUAGCAAGUCGAGCUUGAAUACUGUCAAGCUCAUCUUGAAAUUUGGAGCUCUAUACUUGACUCAAGCUCGAUUUAGCUUGUUUGCCAAUUUUUAUACUCAAGCUCGAACUCGAGCUGGAGUUCGACUCAAUAAUUAAGCUAGGGUUAAUAAUAUAUUAAGGGUAAUAAUGUGAUUUAAUAAUAUAAAUGUUGGGAAAUUUUUUUGUUUGAAAACGAUUUUCUUGUACAGCAGAAAAUUAAAAUUUUGAGGUCCACCCGGUUUGUGAUAUUUAUAGCAAUAAAUAUUAAAUUGAAUUCGCACAUAUGUUUUCGAGUAGACGGAUCCUUAUGAUUCCUGACUUUCACCCAAACGGCAUUCUCCACUAUUCUCGUACCACUAGCAUAUUGGAUGAGUGAAAACUAGUAACACUAGUACACAUAUUGAUCAAGUAAUAAAGUGAAGAGCAUAUAUUAUUUCCAUGAAAAUCAAAUUCUAAGUUGCUUAGUAACAACUAUUCAAUUUUUAUUCAAUCCAAAUUAAUAAAAUAAAUUUUAAUUACUAUUAAAAUUAAACUAAGUUAAUUAAGAAGACUUUAUUAAACUAAAACAAAGAAAAUUUAUAUAUUAAAUCCAAUAUGGAAAAAUUAAAUGUUCAUUCACCUCCUUUAUCAAUACAAGAUAUUAGGGUGUAAGAUAUUCUAUAUUCUAAAAAAAAUUGUGCGUUUCAUACUUACCACGAUGGGAAUGGACAAACUAAGCAGUUAGGUUGCCCUGGGAUUGAUCUUAAUUAUUAUCCUUAGUACAAUAAUUUGACGGUAUUUAUAUUAUAUUCUAUUUUAACAACACUAUUAUUAUUAUAAUCAACAACGUUCUUCGCAGGCUACUUGCUUUCUGGAUAGUCCAAGUCUUCCCACGAAUUUAUCAGUAAUUCUAUUCUAUUCUAUUUGUUUACUUUUCUCAUUACGAUAAUAAAAGUUGCAUUCUAAUGUAAUAUUUGCCUCAAAAUUACACUCAAUUAUUACUUUAGUAUUUAAAGAAAUUUUUUUAGGUAUGUCAAAUUUCCAAACAUCAAGCAUAUUAUUCCCUUACUGCCAUUACCCAAAAAGAUAUAAAGAAAAAGAUGUGGCAUUCUGGGAGUGCAUCAUGUCACCCAAUUUUAUGUUUUUUUCUGAAAUAAAUGUAAACAAAUGAAAAAAUAAGAAAAAAAUCAAGAAUUAUCUAAAAAAAAUUAAAAAUCAGGAAAAAUUAUAAAAUUUUCCAAUUUUUUUUUAAAAAUAAUUUUCCUUUUAAAAAACGUAAAGUACAAAAAAACAAAUAAUUAAAAAUAUAGAUAAAAAACACAGAAUAAUAUAGAUAUAUGUAUAGUACUUUUUAUUAACCUUGAAUUUUUUAUUUUAAAAAGAAAAAUUCUUUUUAAAUUUAUUUUUCCAAAAAAAUUUACUCAAGGCUUGCACUUAUUUUCUUAAAAAUAAUUAUGAUCUCAAUUCUAUAAACUAAAUUGUAACCUUUCCAACUUGAUCUAAACGUUGUGACCGAAUUUGGAAGAUUAUAUUGACCACCGAAAUAGCCUAAUAAAACUAUCGGAACUUACAAAAUAGUCAUUUUAAAAUUUUUAUUUAUUUUUGAAGAAAACUUAACAUGUUAUCUUCUUUUUACUAAACAAUAUAAUUUAUUUCCAAAAUGAUAGAUAUUAAGGUUUUCUUAGCGAAGGUUGAUUUCCAAUUUUAUGAAUAAAUAUAUAUCUUUUUUUCAAAAACUAUUCGCUUAGUAAUGCAGCAAAAAAGUGAUAUUUAACAUAAUUUUAAUGAAAAUUAGAUUUUAUGUAAAAGUAAAUCAAGUUCCAUAUUUCAGCAAUCCUCAAAUCAAAGUAAAUGUCAUGCAUGCCAAAUAAACCCAAAACCUAAGUCUCAUACCAUAGUUCAAAUAAAACAAUAUAGUCUCUCAAUAACAGAAAUUUCAAAUAAUAAGUCUAGAAUACUUUUAUUGAAAAAAAAAACAAUCUAAGCCAAGCCCUCCAAAUGCCAAGUCUGUGUCCUAACAUGAUGGUUUAUCUGUAAAGAUGAAAAUAAAGGGGAGUGAGCUUAAAAAACUCAGUGUGAUUCCAAUCACAAGAAGGUCAAUGCAAAUAGUAAAUGAAGCACACAAAAUAACAAUUCUCAUAACAAUCACACUCAUAUAGCGAUUCAGAGUAUUUGGUCCUUAGAUCAACACAUUCAAUAUAAUAUUUUAGAAUUCAUAGUUAUGCAUGCACGUGCUUUUGAAUAGAGGUGCAAUUUCAAGUUAUUAGAGAAAAUCUUACUUAAGUCCGCUACACACCACAAUAAGGGUUCCUUAGUGCUCAUUCAUCCCUACACACCACGUUGUGGAUGAACCAUUAGUAAUUGUAGAUGAACUACCAGUAAUAAAAAUUAUGGAUGAACCACAAAAACUUUUAGAUAAAAAGUUUGCAGACAAGCUGCCAAUAUGUUAUGGAUGAACAACUAGUGUUUGCAGAUUAUUAAACUGUCAAUUAUUCUUCCGCUCGUAUCCUCCCACCCCAUGCAAUGCAAUAUGACAUGCUUAUAAUAGAUUAGUACGGUGGCAGUAGAUAUGCUUAACGUAUUUGGUUCAACACUAGCAGUAGGCAUGCUGAACAUACAAUCAAUGAUAUAGUGGCAGAAUUAACAAUAUAGUUUAUCAGAAUUACAGUGAUAGUAGGCACAUAUCAUUCACAUAUCAUGCAUAUAACAGUAGUAAUUUAGCCAUUCAGAUAAUAGUUUCCAAAAUAUGCAUAUUAUCAGGGAUUCAAUUGAGUGAAAUAAAACUCUAAAAAUAGUUCGGGGACUAUAUAGGGACUGAACAGAAUAAUUCAUAAAUUUCAUGGAAAAAUUGUAAAAUAGGGUCACAUGGCUGUGUGAUCAAGCUUGUGAGGAGGCUAAGAUCGUGUGGGAAGGGUAUACAGUCAUAUGGCCAGGCUGUGUAACAAACUGAGGUCAUGUGACAAAUGCUAAAGUUACCCUACAGGAGGGAAACAACUGUGUGGAAGGGUUGUGGUCAUGUGGUUCACAAACAAGCCUAGGAUUUACAAGGGCACAUGGUCAUGUGGUCCACACACCUAUGUGGGAGAUUGUGUGGCCCUAAAUCUACACAAGAGCACCACCUAUUCACUUGGAAAAGAACACACACCUUUCAUCACGGGUUUGGUUGACGUUCCUCACGCUCGAUUUUGGUCUGAUUCACUUAAAUCCAUUCCUUCAAACGAAAUUUACACACAAAUUAAUAGUUGGUAUCAAGAUUUGACAAUAUUUACAAAAGAUUUGACUAGAUUUCGAGUAAAUUGAUUAAUCGAACCAAAAGAUUAACAUCGUACAUUAAUAGUAUGAAAAUAUGGGAUUUAAUCCUUAAAAUGGAACACACUUACUGAUUAUUAGUAAAGGUAAUGGAUGUUAUUUGAUGAUAACUCUAACACUAUUAAGAAAAAAAAGAAAUGGGGAUUGAUUCGAUAGGAGAAAGAAAAAUAAUCAAUAGUUCAAAUGUUAAAAUAUGAUGCAAGUAUGAGAGAAAAGAAGAGGAAAAGAAAAGGGAAAGAAAAGAAAUAAAAGAUGAAGAGGAGUUUUACUAAAAUUUUGAAAAGAGGCAAACUUAAUCUAAAUGGAAAAGGAUGGUUAAAUAGCUAGGGUUUGAAACCCUAGGGGCAACAAGGGUAAUUUCCCCAAAGCUGGCAAAAUUCAAAAGAAAAAUGAGUGGGGAAGGAGGUAGCUUAAACCUAGGACCUAUAGGAUAAAAGAGUAACACUUAACCAUUAGACCUAUCACCCAUUUCUUAUUUAGUUUUAAUUCCCGACCGUAUAUAUUUUGAGUGUGACUUUACCCUAAGUUGUCGAAAAUAAAAUGGGAGGAAGGGAGCUCGAACUUUUGGGUCUUUAGGGAGGACUUUCUAUUACUUAACCGUUAAGCCUAAUUCAAUUCUUAUUUAACCAUUUCGAUUAACCCCCUAUAUUUUGGGGCAUGACAUAAAUAAUAGUAAAUUAUUCUUAUACUUAAUUGAACUUGAAAGCUUGUCUAAAUUUUAGAUUUACCUUAAUUUCAUUUGAAUCAAAUUAAAAAAAUUAAAAUGUUAAAUAAGUAAAGGGUAAAUGUAAUUCAAAAUGAAUGUCAUUCAAAUGGCAAAUAAUCUCAACAUUGCAAACAAUCUCAACAUUGUAUUUUAACUCUAAAAAUUUUGAUUUGUAACCAACUUAUAAUUCUUUAAAUUUGAAAUAAAUCAAAUAAAAAAAAUAGUCUAACGACUUCUAUCUAAAUUGAUCAAACUCAAAAGCAUUUAAAUUUAAAAUAAUUAAAAUAAAAAUGAACUCACAUCUAAAACAGAAAAGGUUGAUCAAAGAAAAUUAUGACAACUACGAAUUCAUUUACAUGGAAUUUUAUGGCAAUGGUAGCUUCAGCUUGGAAUCUAAAAUUAUUGAAAAACAAACAUGACAAUCUGUAAGGUUAAAUCCCAAAGCGUUUUGUACAAUUUAAUUUAAUUCUUAAGUCUUGACAAGCCUCGAAAGAACCAAUUCCAUAUAUAUUGUGUAUUUAAAAAAAACAUGAUAUGUGCUAAAAGUAACAUGUUUUAUUCUCAUUCUUAAUGCGUUUUUGGGUGAUUAUCCGAUGUUAAAUUUGAAUUUUGUACUCAUAAUCCUUUGAAUUCAUGUUUUAUGCUUAAUAGAGCACUUAGGAGCAAAAAGAGCAAAAAACAAGCGAAAGUCAGAGCGUCGGAGCAAGUUGAUGGAGCCAUACGGGCUGAACCAUUUCACAUGGCUAGACAAUACAGCCAUAUAACCCACACAGGCAUGUGGUAGGGCACGUAAUGCCCUAAACCCGGCCCAGAUGUUAUGGCUGAAUAUGGCGAAGUCACAUGAGAAUGUAUUUAAAACCGUGUUUACCCAAAAACUGUUCCAGUUACCACCUUUUACUUAACUCAGAGAACAUAUAUUGAUUAAUUUGCUUGAAAACAUUUCUUAGUUCGCGGAAGCUUACGAACAAAUAAAGUUGCAGUUCCAAAAUCCAUAAACAAUAUUUCAAAAUUCCGAAGCUAAAUCAAAUAGUCUAAAACCAGAAAUUACAUAAUUACUCUCAACUAUAGCAAUUAAAAUAAUAAAAACAUUAAAAGCCUUUAGAACCAAAGUGUAUAUAGCAGUGGUUACCGUCGAGCCUUUCCGCUGCACCGAUCCACCUACUGCUGGGGAUUACCUGAUAGACAAACAAAAUAAGAGGUGAGUUUUCACAAACUUAGUGUGUACAUCCCCACAGUAAAACAUGCAUGUAAAUGGAUAGCAGUCAAACAGUCAUAAUCAAGCUUGAGCUCUUAACAGAAACAGUGUAGGCCUUAGCCCACUCAGAACAGUAUUAGAUACAUCUGGGUCUUAGCCCAUACAAACAUACAUGUAUAUCAAUUAGAACAGUAAUGCCCACAAACCCUGUACACCAUCUCCGUCCAACCCAACAUACCAUGUGGGGAUAAAAUCGACCCACCCAGCCCUACAUCUCAAGUUAGGGAUAAAAUCAACCCAUCCAACCCUACACACCAAGUGGUACCAUAUACGACACGUAUCAGAUAUAUGCAGCAUAGCUGCCAGAUGACAGGCUUAUAGCCUCUCAGUCUUCCUUCUUUUCAACAACAUGUGCAACCCAAUGUAAUGCAACAUAAAUAAUAAGGCAUGCUCAUGUGCAAAUAUCAAAUCAUAACAUCAUCAUCAAAUCAGAACAGAUACACAUGCUUUAAUUAUCAUGCUUUUACAUACAUAUUAGUAUCAAAUCAGAGUAUAGGGGUCUAAGUAAUGCUUACCAACCCUACAAUCAGGUCACGAUAGACUUGGGCGACCCGUGCAACCUUACAGAACAUUUCAAACAAAUCGGGCUCACACGCUCAUAUGGGCCCACACGCCCGUGUGGCUCACACAGCCCAGAUUGGCCUCGCCCGUGUGGAUCACACGGCCUGGCCCAAGAUCCCACAUGUCCACGUGGCCCACACGGCCUAAUUGGUCAAGCCCGUGCCUCAGACACGGCCUCGCCAGCUUUACACGCAGUGUUCGUCGUGCCCGUGUGGCACGCACACAGCCUACUUUGUCGACCACACAGCCGUGUUUCACCGUACGACCUCUACACGGGCAGUCCACACACCCAUGUAGCGUCGACAACAGCAUUUUCAGCUUUUGCCGAAACACGGUUUCAGAUCGAUUGGAGUACAACCUGGUUUCGAUUGAAGCCUAACGCAAUCCCGAGCACUCCAGAACCUAUAUUCCAUAAUGUCAUGACCUAUUUCAGUCACUUAAACAAUUUUUUGAUUGAAACUAAACGAGGUAUUCCGCCCUGAAAUCGUUAAAUUUCUUACCUCAAGCGAAAACCAGCGAAUACAACGCGCUUAAUUCACUGUUCAGGAACGAAGAACAGCCCUUGAUCAGUACCCAAACACCCAAAGAAAAUUGCCCCUUAAUAUCUUAAUCAAACAAUGUUUAUGAACGACAAGUAGAAACUUACCAAUGAAGAGAACGUCAAUGCAGAAGCCCGUUAAUACAAAAUCAAAACGAAUGGGAGGAAGGCAAGGGAAAUUUCGGCAAAAAGAAAAUAAAAAGAACAUGGAGAGGAGAAAAAUAGUAGAGAAUUUCAGUAGAGAGAGUUCUUUUGGGGAAACUACUCAGAAAAAUCUGAUAAACCCUACCACUUCAGUAUUUUAGCUCACCUCCAAUUCUAUCUAGGCCUUAAUGGCAAAAAUAAUGCCCAAACCAGGAUUCAAACACAGGACCUCUAGCAUAAACCCUUGCCACUUAACCACUAGACCAGCAGGUCCAUUCUGUUAAGUUUUUACCAAUAAAUUCUUAUAAGCCCAUUAACCAAAAGCCAGACUUUAUUAAAAUUAAAAAAACCAAAAUUUUGCCCAAGUUGAGACUUGAACUUGGGACUUCCCUAACACACACCCCAAAGCACUUAAACACAAAAGCAGAUAGAUAUUAUGCAAAUUCAUGCAAAAACUUAUUCAGAUAUUUUCCUAUGCUACAAUUUCACAAAAGCUGAAAUUACAGAAAUUUGGGGUGUUAUAGAGCAUGUUGAUUUCACAAGAUUGUGUGCUGAACAGCAAAAAAUCAUGAUUUUUAGGAAUUUUGGGCAUUCUAAGACGUAUAUAUGACAAAAAUAAGAAGAUAAGAGAGAGCCGUAAGAGAAUACUCAAGAAAACAACUCAAAAAACACCAUUGAAGCCGAUUUUGAGGUAAAUUUCCAUUAAGAUUGAAAACAGUUGAUUUCUCAGGGAGUUAUCAUGCGUUUCUUUAUUUCUUUCAAUUAUACUAUAUUUUUUAUUUUUCUCUAUCAAGUAUGAACUAAUUUCUAGAUACUUAGGGGAGAUGAACCCUAUGAUGGAUUAUGUUGUUUGAUUUUUUAUUUUACACAAUAAAUACUUAGUUUCUUAUUCUUAAUUAUGUGUGCUUAACCCUUGGUUUGAUAUUUCUAGAGUAUUAAUCCUUGUUCGAUGUGCUUAAAUAGGUGAUUGAAUAGACCCUGUUUAAGAUUAGAUCUUGCAUAAUUGAGUGAAGUUGCAUGCAAUCCUAUAAAUAAGAUGACAUAAAUCUACCAAAUUAGAGUCAAAUCUAAUGGAAAAAUCCAUAGCGGAGUUAAUGCAAUAAUAGAUGUUUUAAUUAGAAAAAAAUUCAAUUAAUUAAUCUAGAGUCAGUUGCUUUUAUACUUGAAAGAGAUAUUACCAUAAUUUAAGAAUUUUUACGGAUCAAGGUGUUAAGUAAAGAUAUUGCAUAAUUUAGAUUGGUAGUGACAGAUGAAAUCUAGGCGGAUUCUUUUCUAGGUAUUGUUUCAUUUCUUGGUUGUUAUUUGAUUAUUUUUACGAUUUGUUCUUUGUUGUGUUUCUUAGGUAAUAAAAUUAGUUAAUUUUAGUUUUAAUCAAUCAUUUGAAUUAUUGAAUUAAAUAAUAAAAAAUAGUAAUUACUAAUACUUGUAGUUCUCGUGGGAAUGAUAUCUUUGUUCACUGUAGUUAUAUUAUUAAUUGAUAGGUACACUUGCCUUAAUUAAAUUUUUAGCUAGUUUCGUAGACACCAGAACAUCUUUUUCAAUAUUUUUGAAACUUUUUUAUAAUUUUUGUAAAUUUUUUCUUUUUAUUUUUCUGCUAUUUUUUAAUUUUAUUUUUAAAAACUAUUUUUAAAAAAAAUAAAAAAAACCAUUCAAUGUUUUUAAAAAGUAAUAUAGAUAUUUAUAUAUCCAUAUUGUUCCAUGUUUUUUUUUCUAUAUUUUUAGUGAUUUUCCUUCUCUUUUUGAAUUUUCACUAUAUUUGAAUUUUAUGUUUUUUAGAAAGGAAAGUAUUUUGUUUUAGUUCCGGAAAAGUUUUAAAAUUUGUCUUAUUUUUUAUUUUCAUGAGAUUUUUCCUGUCAUUUUUUACCAUUUUUUUGAGUUUUUUUUUUGGUUUUUUUUUUUUGCAUUUAUUAAAAAAAAACAUAAAUUUGGGUGACGUAACAUGCCACAUAUUUUUUUUUCUAACGACAGAAAGAGUUGAAACAAAAUAUCUAAUGUUUGGAAAUUUCAUAUAUCAAACUGAUAAAAAAAUUUCUUUAAACACCAAGUGAUAAUUGAAUCAUCAAUACCACAUUAACCCUUUAUUAUAUUAAAAUUCUCAUUCUGUUUUCAUAUUCAAUGGCACUGAUUAACGUUACAUUUUAUUAAAAAAAAUUCAACCUAACACAAUUUAUUUUGAAUUUAAUAAAAACAGAUUCUUAAAAUAAUAAUUAAAUAAACUUUAAUCAAUGCUUAUAAACACAGUCAACACAUUUCGUCUAAAUAUUGAAGUAAGCAUUAUUGAAAAAAAAGCAAAUAAAUAAAGUAGAAGACAAACUGAUACAAUAUCUGAAGUCAUCAAUGGGAAAUUUACUAAGAACUUCUGGGAUGCUUAUUUUGACCAGUACCAAUUCAAUGAAAAUUAAUAACAAUAUUGGAUAUAAAUCCAAACUAAAAAAAUGAGAAUAGUAAAGUUCUUACACUUCAAGUUCAGUAUAUAAAUAGCAUCUUAGUUCUCUAUCAUCUCACACCUCAAUCACUCAAUCAUCCACUUCUCCUCUUUGAACUAAAAGUCUGAAUUAACAUUAAAAUCAUGGGUGUUUUCAGUUAUGAUUAUGAAACUACCUCCCCAGUCGCCCCAGCUAGGCUUUUCAAGGCUUUUACUGUUGAAGCUCCAAAGGUUUGGCCCACGGCUGCUCCUAAUGCAGUCAAGAGUAUUGAGGUUGAAGCUAAUCCUAGCUCUGGAAGUAUCGUAAAAAUCAACUUUGUUGAAGGUUAGUUCUUUCAUUUUCACUUUCGUUGGCAUUUUUUAAUGUGUUUUACACGAGUAUGUUGGCUAACAAGUAUUUAUUUCUUUAGGCUUUCCAUUCCAAUAUAUGAAGCACCAGAUCGGAGGACACGAUGAAAAUAAUUUUUCAUACAGUUACAGUUUAAUUGAAGGUGGGCCUUUGGGGGAUAAGCUUGAAAAGAUUAGCUAUGAGAACAAGUUUGAGGCAACUGCAGGUGGAGGAAGUAUUUGCAAGAGCUCAAUGAAAUUCUACACUGUUGGCGAUAAUGUUAUCACUGAAGAUGAAAUCAAGGCUCGCAUUAAAGGGAGUGAGACAGUUUACAAGCCUAUUGAAGCUUACCUCUUGGCUAAUCCCGAAGCCUGCAACUAGGAUCUAGGUUGCUUUGAAAUCUUAUGCUUGCUUUUAAAGAAGAGUUUGAUUUUAAUGUUGUGCUUUUGAU